rnacentral:rRNA from 1 species
GUGCACCUUUACUAUAGCUUAACGUUGUCUUUGAGUAGGUGAUGUGUAGGAUAGGUGGGAGACUAUGAAGUGGCAUCGCUAGAUGUUGUGGAGUCGUUGUUGAAAUACCACCCUUCAUUUGCUUAGAGACUAACCCUGAUGGGAACAUCGUUAGGUGGGUAGUUUGACUGGGGUGGUCGCCUCCUAAAAAGUAACGGAGGCUCCCAAAGGUUCCCUCAGCAUGGUUGGUAAUCAUGCAAAGAGCGUAUAAGUACAAGGGAGCUUGACUGAGAGACAAACAAGUCGAACAGGUACGAAAGUAGGGUUAAGUGAUCCGGUGUUUCUGAAUGGAAGGGACAUCGCUCAAAGGAUAAAAGGUACGCCGGGGAUAA